rnacentral:rRNA from 1 species
AGUGAACGCUGGCGGUAGGCCUAACACAUGCAAGUCGAACGGCAGCACAGUAAGAGCUUGCUCUUACGGGUGGCGAGUGGCGGACGGGUGAGGAAUACAUCGGAAUCUACUUUUUCGUGGGGGAUAACGUAGGGAAACUUACGCUAAUACCGCAUACGACCUACGGGUGAAAGCAGGGGAUCUUCGGACCUUGCGCGAUUGAAUGAGCCGAUGUCGGAUUAGCUAGUUGGCGGGGUAAAGGCCCACCAAGGCGACGAUCCGUAGCUGGUCUGAGAGGAUGGUCGGCCACACUGGAACUUAGACACGGUCCAGACUCCUACGGGAGGCAGCAGUGGGGAAUAUUGGACAAUGGGCGCAAGCCUGAUCCAGCCAUACCGCGUGGGUGAAGAAGGCCUUCGGGUUGUAAAGCCCUUUUGUUGGGAAAGAAAAGCAGCAGGUUAAUACCCCGCUGUUCUGACGGUACCCAAAGAAUAAGCACCGGCUAACUUCGUG